ACGAGGUGCAAGGGAGAUGAACAACAUACUAAUGGCACAAGUCUUGAAGUUCAGAAAGAGGCUUAUUUUCAUAGUUCCAUGGUGGUUGUCUCCCUUUAUAUGCUGUGCUGUCUGACAGUGUUUUUUGGAACCAAGGAGAAAAAAGGUUUUAUUGAAGAAAAAAAAGAACACACGCUUGGGUUUUUCACUGGGAUGAAAACUGUGUUUACAUUUAAACCAUAUCUUUGGGCCUCACUUACAUUUCUUUUCCUGACUAUUGCAAUACAGGUAUUUGUUAGACAUCAUUUUAUG
rnacentral:sRNA from 1 species